rnacentral:piRNA from 1 species
UGACAUUAAUUGUUAAAGUGAGAUUUG